UGUCAACCCUGCUUAGGUGUAGCGAUACACAUCAAUGCUGACCACCCAGGCAAAGCUGCAGGAGGCAGACCCUCUUGGUGGGAAGCAAUCGGAGGUGGAGUAGAUCCUGCUGAGCCAAAAUGUCGUGAAAUACAUAAAUAACGAUGCAAGCACCAGCAUGCACGUAUUUAGAGCAGUCAUGAAACAAAAAGCAGUGUGCGUGCGUGCAUUACAUGUCAGCAGAGGCACUGUAGGGGUGCUCGCUUAGCAGAAAGACAGGCAGGAAGCUGGAGCUGGCAGAGCAAAGAACAUGCAGAGGCCGCGGAUCUGGGCUGCACGGCAGCCUUGCAACUUGAUGACGCGCCAGGGGCCUGGAUGCACACACAGAUGAAGCAUCAGGCAAAGCUGUGAAUCAGGCCACCAGUCUGAGCAGCACAGUGACGACUGGUCAGGGGAAGCAGUGGGGUAAAACCCGUUUGGAAGGUGAGAAACAAGCGGCCUUACGCACUGCAGAGAAAGGCCAGGAAAGCGGCCUGACGCUGCACCGGAAGGAAAGGGGCAGGGCAGAAUGAACAAAGUAGAGGUGCAAAACACCGAGAGGAAACCUCAGUGUUGUGGGUAAUCUACAGCUACAACCAGGACACUUCCUGUUUGCUUCUUUCUGGUACAGGAAUUCGUUCCUGGCUCAGUCUGGGAGCUAUUGGUGGGAAAGGGUAAGAGGGUGACUCUGCCAGGAGUAGGGAGUAUUCACAGAGAGGUAAGAGAAGAUCCUGACCAUUUCACAUAUAAAGAACAGAUAAUUACACAGUGGGGUGUUUGGAGCUCACACACCACACAGAAAGAGAUGUGAUGUCUUUACAGGUGCAUGUUGGCUUCAUGACCCACUUUCAGCGGAACAUAUGCUCAUCCUGAGUGGUCAUGGUUGGCCCAGAGCCAGUCGAGUUAUCUUGCUUCAGCCUUGCAUGUGACCCGUGCUACACACUGACAAACUGAUGGCCAGGGCAAAGCAGAGCAAUCUGGUAGCAUGAUUCACCCUAAGGCUAACAGAGGGACAACUUGAAGGAAGACAGUCCAAAGCAUCAAGGGAUGCUGAAGAAGCAUUACCCGGGGCAAGCAUGCAGGAAGCCGUACUUGUUCCUGCAGAAACAGGAUCUCAUUGACCACAUCUGACAUGACAACACAGGGAGGAAACCC